GCACUAAGGGAGAUGAUGUAUUUCUCUGUGAGUAUGAGUAUGAUGUUAAUUGGCAUGCUUUCAAGCGCCUGGCAGAUGC